GGGUCGUUAGCUCAGUUGGUAGAGCAGUUGACUCUUAAUCAAUUGGUCGCAGGUUCGAGCCCUGCACGACCCACCA
rnacentral:tRNA from 1 species